rnacentral:rRNA from 1 species
GGGAUUGCCCUAGUAACGGCGAGUGAAGCGGCAACAGCUCAAAUUUGAAAUCUGGCCCCUUCGGGGCCCGAGUUGUAAUUUGUAGAGGGUGCUUUGGCGUUGGCCAUGGUCUAAGUUCCUUGGAACAGGACGUCACAGAGGGUGAGAAUCCCGUACGUGGCCGCUGGCCUUCACCAUGUAAAGCCCCUUCGACGAGUCGAGUUGUUUGGGAAUGCAGCUCUAAAUGGGAGGUAAAUUUCUUCUAAAGCUAAAUAUUGGCCAGAGACCGAUAGCGCACAAGUAGAGUGAUCGAAAGAUGAAAAGCACUUUGGAAAGAGAGUCAAAAAGCACGUGAAAUUGUUGAAAGGGAAGCGCUUGCAGCCAGACUUGCCCGUAGUCGCUCAUCUAGGCUUCUGCCUGGUGCACUCUUCUGCGGGCAGGCCAGCAUCAGUUCAGGCGGUCGGAUAAAGGUCUUGGGAAUGUGGCUCUCUUCGGGGAGUGUUAUAGCCCGUGGCGCAAUGCGACCAGCCUGGACUGAGGUCCGCGCAUCUGCUAGGAUGCUGGCGUAAUGGCUGUAAGCGGCCCGUCUUGAAACACGGACCAAGGAGUCUAACAUCUAUGCGAGUGUUUGGGUGUCAAGCCCGAGCGCGCAAUGAAAGUGAACGGAGGUGGGAACCCGCAAGGGCGCACCAUCGACCGAUCCUGAUGUCUUCGGAUGGAUUUGAGUAAGAGCAUAGCUGUUGGGACCCGAAAGAUGGUGAACUAUGCCUGAAUAGGGUGAAGCCAGAGGAAACUCUGGUGGAGGCUCGCAGCGGUUCUGACGUGCAAAUCGAUCGUCAAAUUUGGGCAUAGGGGCGAAAGACUAAUCGAACUAUCUAGUAGCUGGUUCCUGC